GGCGAACGGGUGAGUAGCGCGUUGGUGACCUGCCCCGAAGAGAGGGAUAGCAGUUCGAAAGGACUGAUAAUACCUCAUGUGGUUAUUGGUUUUAGAAUCUGAUAACUAAACGGAUUUAUUCGCUUCGGGAGGGGCCUGCGUCCCAUCAGCUAGUUGGUAAGGUAAUGGCCUACCAAGGCGAUGACGGGUAGGGGACCUGAGAGGGUGGCCCCCCACAAUGGGACUGAAACACGGUCCAUACACCUACGGGUGGCAGCAGUAGGGAAUAUUGGUAAUGUGCGAAAGCGCGAACCAGCAACGCCGCGUGCACGAUGAAGGCCUUCGGGUUGUAAAGUGCUUUUAGAGAGGAUGAGGAAGGACAGUACUUUCUGAAUAAGCCUCGGCUAACUACGUGCCAGCAGCCGCGGUAAAACGUAGGAGGCUAGCGUUAUCCGGAUUUACUGGGCGUAAAGCGCGUGCAGGUGGUUUCGUAAGUUGGAUGUGAAAGCUCCUGGCUUAACUGGGAGAGGUCGUUCAAAACUGCGAGGCUUGAGAGUGGUAGAGGGAGGUGGAAUUCCGGGUGUAGUGGUGAAAUGCGUAGAUAUCCGGAGGAACACCAGUGGCGAAAGCGGCCUCCUGGACCAUUUCUGACACUCAGACGCGAAAGCUAAGGUAGCAAACGGGAUUAGAGACCCCGGUAGUCUUAGCUGUAAACGAUGUGAACUUGGCGUCGGUGGGUUUAAAUCCAUCGGUGCCGAAGCCAACGCGAUAAGUUCACCGCCUGGGGACUACGGCCGCAAGGUUAAAACUCAAAGGAAUUGA
rnacentral:rRNA from 1 species